UGGGUGACCUGCCCUCAGCUCUGGGAUAAGCCUGGGAGACUGGGUCUAAUACUGGAUAUUCACUGCUUAUCGCAUGGUGGGUGGUGGAAAGUUUUUCGGCUGGGGAUGGGCCCGCGGCCUAUCAGCUUGUUGGUGGGGUGAUGGCCUACCAAGGCGACGACGGGUAGCCGGCCUGAGAGGGCGUCCGGCCACACUGGGACUGAGACACGGCCCAGACCUCCGUACGGGGA
rnacentral:rRNA from 1 species